AAAGCCGGAACCCUAGCGAAUCUUUUCGACGUUUUCCAGUCGGCGGUGAAAGCGCAGUACCGGACCCUCCCGGAAGUUGUUGCACAGUCGUUUCCGGGGCAGUGUGCGGUGGAGCAGGACUUCAAUGGGUCGCAGCCGCAGCCGGUCCCCACGGAGGGAGCGUAGGCGGUCCCGGUCCACAUCUCGGGAGAGAGAACGCAGGCGCCGAGAAAGGUCCCGGUCCCGGGAGAGAGAUAGGAGAAGGAGCCGCUCUCGAUCCCCCCACAGAAGACGCUCUAGAUCUCCAAGACGACAUAGAUCCACAUCUCCUUCCCCUUCUCGACUGAAAGAAAGAAGAGAUGAGGAAAAGAAAGACACAAAAGAAACAAAGAGCAAAGAACGUCAAAUUACUGAGGAAGAUUUAGAGGGUAAAACUGAGGAAGAAAUAGAAAUGAUGAAGUUAAUGGGCUUUGCCUCCUUUGACUCCACAAAAGGGAAAAAGGUGGAUGGCUCUGUAAAUGCCUAUGCUAUAAAUGUGUCUCAGAAGAGGAAGUACAGGCAGUACAUGAAUCGAAAAGGUGGAUUCAACAGACCUUUGGAUUUCAUUGCAUGAGAACUGAAAUGUUGAAGAAUGAUUUUUUUUCCCUUUGAUCUUGAGCAGAAGAGUGGAUUUUAUAUUUUGUAUUUAAUGUGUAUCAAAAACAGGAUCACAGUUCUCCCUCCUUGUAAAGUUCAUUUCUUACAUGUGACAUUGCUGAGUGAGAGAGAAAGAGAGGGCAGAGUGGUCCUUUUAAAAUGUGCAUCAGGUUACAUUGCCUCUGGCUCUGGUGGUGGUUUUCUGUCACUUACAGAAGGUCCAGUCCUUACUGUGAUCUGCAAGGCUGGACCCUGGACAGUCUGGACCCUGGCUUGCUGCAACCUCCCCCCUCUUGCUACUGUGCUCAGCCACACUGCUGGCCUCCUUGCUGUUUCUCGAAAACAGGCACUGUCAAAUGGUUUUCCAAAGCAACUGCACUAUUUUACAUUCCAUCAGCGAUGUGUGAGGGGUCCAGCUUCUUCACAUGCUCUGUAAAAGUUUCCUUUUCCAUAUAGCACUUACCACCGCCUGACACCCUGUUCAUCUAUUACUGUCUGGUUCUUCCAUUAGACGUCAAGCUCUGAGGAGUGGUGCUUUCUUGUCUUGUUUUCCAUUGUAUCCCCAGCACCACACACAGUGCCUGGCACAGAGUGUAGCACUAUCAAUAAAUAUUUGUUGAAUUCGUGAA